rnacentral:lncRNA from 1 species
GGCCGCGCGUCCUGAACCAGUCAUUCCGGGCCUGCCAAUCACCCAGCGGGUAGCCAAUCAGCGGGGACCCUGGUGCUCGACUUCCUUGUAUUUGGGAAAGUGUGGUGGUGGGUGCGCGCUCGCGGCAGAGGGUAAACAUUCGACAGUCCCUGCUCUGAGAGGGAGGGACAGAGAGCGAACUGUCAGAUCCAAGCGAGAGCGGGCGCCCGAGCGCGGGAGAGAGAGGGAGGGAGAGGAAAAGUGAGCUAGGGAAGGAGACCAAGAACCGGGGCGCACAGCGAGCUCCCUCUGCAACUCAGCUCCCGCACGGCCAGCGCCAGCGCCAGCGCCCGCCGUCGGUGCACUCUGCGAGCCGUACACCGUGCCCACAGGAGUUGGUUGUGUAUCAAGGAACCCCUAUAUGCACACACACACAUCUCCAUCUCCACCUCCACCUCCACCAAUGCACUCUUCUUCCUCCUCCUUCUCCAGACAACUGCGGAGGAAAAAAUAAAACACCAACCCCAACCGUCAGCAACAAGAGGCAACCAAGAGCUCCAGCAAUAGCAACUUCAGAGAAAUGCAUCCUCGCAAGAAGUUUCGCUAGGACAGAGCAAAACUUGAAAGGAGAGGACCAGAGGGGGAGAGCAGGAGCCAGUCUCCCCACUCCGCAGACCCGAGCAGCCAGCACCACCACGCCUUCAAGGACGAAAAAAGUUUUACUAUGCUGAGGGAAACCGAGUGAAAUGUGUUCCUGAGGAGAGCCGAGAACCGACCAGCCUAGGCACCGGCCGAGUGCUGGCCACCCACAAUUUGGCCAAGGAAGAAAGGAGCAGCUCCAUCCUUUGUUGUCUCGCGUGAAACCUUCGCCUAGCAGGUGGACCGAGCCCCGCGCCGGGGCAGAGUCCGCGCCCGCCCGCCGAGGACAGAAGGAGGAGCGGGAGCCCGCACGCCCCGGGAGAGCGCCCGAAGUACAGGUUCCCGCCCCGCUGCGCGAGCCCCGCUGGAGCGAGCCCACUGCUCCGGGCCGGGGGGAAGGCCACGACCCCCCGUGAAGGGGCUGGCCACGGAGCUUGGCCCGAGAAGCGAUCUCCCCUCCCCAGGGCGCCGCUCCUGCUGCAGCUGCGGCUGCUGCCACUGACCAGGGCGGCCCGGCGACCCCCACGCCCUGCCGAGCGGCCUUGCAGCUGCAGCCCGGGGCCGCGGCGGCGG